CACAGAUAAUAUACAGGCAAUAACAAGCAAUAACAGGUAAUAACAGGUAAUAUCAGGUAAGACACAUAUAAUACACAGGUAAUAAACAGGCAAUAACAGGUAAGACACAGAUAAUAUACAGGCAAUAACAGGUAAUAACAGGUAAGACACAUAUAAUACACAGGUAAUAAACAGGCAAUAAACAGGCAAUAUCAGGUCAUAAACAGACAAUAACAGGUAAGACACAGAUAAUUUACAGGCAAUAACAGGUAAUAACAGGUAAUAACAGGCAAUAAACAGGCAAUAUCAGGUCAUAAACAGACAAUAACAGGUAAGACACAGAUAAUUUACAGGCAAUAACAGGUAAUAACAGGUAAUAACAGGUAAGACACACAUAAUUACAGGCAAUAAGAGGCAAUAACAGGUAAUACAGGCAAUAACAGGUAAUAA
rnacentral:lncRNA from 13 species